ACGUGAUUUUGUGUUAUGCCGCCAUCUUGGCGGUCAACCUGUCAGCUCGUUCCUACGUGUUCGUACGGAUUCAGUUUGAUUUCGGCGCUACAUUUUCACCGAUUUCAUCCGAAUUAUGGCUGAUUUGCUAUCCAAUGAAGAAAUCUUACCAAAUGCCAGGUCAAACACUCUCAACGGAUGAAUGAUCCUCCCCUCAGACCUUGGGUAGCAAUAGCGAAAGAUGGUCAGAUCCUGUGAUGCCACUGUACCUGCAUGGCUGGAUUGGGUGAAACAUGUUCACAUUCAGCAGCAUCAUCCCUGUUCGCCCUGGAGACAUUAAUACGUAUGAAGACGGCCACUUCAUGCACAUCACUACCUUGUCAGUGGCUGAAACCAUCCGCGUCGCACAUAGAAUAUGCUGAAGGAUGCAAUAUCGAUUUUGCCCGUCCAGCCCAGAAACGAAAGUCAGAAGUUUCAACUCCUGAGGAAAGUGCUGCGAGAAAACUGCUGAAUGUUCCUCCACCAACUGAAGAGCAGAAAGCUGCCUUUUACAAGGCUUUGUCUGAAUGUGGUGGAAGACUAGCAAUUUUGAGCAUUGUCCCUGACUAUGCUGACAACUUUGUGCCAAGGGCAGUGAAGCGAAAGCUUCCUGUACCUCUCUCACAGCUGCACGAUUCUGGCAAUACGAAACUCAGCACAGAUGAACUUGCACUAAAAUGCCGGUCAGAGGUGGGAAAGUUACAUUCCAUUACCAGAGAGCAGAUAUCUGCGGUUGAAGAAGAGUCCAGGGGCCAAGCAACAUCAACAACUUGGUUUCAACAAAGAGCUGGGCGAAUUAGUUCAUCAAGUUCCGCACGCAGAUUUUUACACUCUGCAGUGAGGGAAUCCAUUGCUUCCCCAGUGAUAUCCGUCUGUGUGGCAGUAGUCACCAUGCCUUCUUUUCGAAUCUCAGCGUGCACCACAUCUUCACCAGCGGGUAGUUGAUCAUUUUCACAAGGGACAGACUGGGAAAUAUUGACAAGUGCUGCUGCUGCUGCUGCUGCUGCUGCUGCUGCUGCCAAUGCCCUCUCGCGGUCACUAUUGCGCUGCUUGAGAUUUUGUCUUCUCUCAAAGAUCUUCAUUGAUCAUUUGAGUUUUGGUUUUUGAAGUGACUGGGUAUCCUCAAACAUACUUGGCACAUAGUCUGGGGAUAGUGGAUCUUCGCUUUUUGCACCUGAAACAAUUAAACAAUAACAUUAUUCAUAGUGACUACCAUAAAUAAUUAAGCACGUUGUUGAAGGGGAUAUACCCAGUUCAAUUUGUUUCGUAAUGGCAUUUCAUGACUUGACAUAUUCAAAAACUGAAUAGAGUGAAAUCAUUUAGAUACUGUACCUGUCUGUUCAGGUUGCUAUCAUUUUUAUUUUUUGUUUAUUUUUGCAUGAUGCCUCAUCUGAUUGGCUUGAAAAUUUUUAACCUUGUGCCAAUGGCUUAAAUUUUAUCAAUGUGGAUUUUACCUUGUGCCAAAUGAAGUAACAAAAAGCCUCUUGUUCAAAAAUGCUUCAUUAAAAAAAAAUUGUUUCACAAGGUUCAUAAUUUUUUUUGAAAUUUCCUAAUGCAUUCACUCAUGAGAAUUAAUUGUUAAUUCCAAUAUGAAGUUCAAUAUUUACAUUGAUAACGUUUUCAAGCCAAUCAGAUGAAGCAUCAUGAAAAAAUAAACCAAAAAUAAAAACGGGGGGGUGAACUGAAGAAAUCAUCCCAUUCCCUGCCUUGCUGCUCUUGCUGCCUUUCUAAAAAUGCACGCAGCAUUUUCAACAAUCAUAUUUGUAUCAUCCCAUAUUGUAUUAUUUCACAUUUUGUGAAACAAAUCAAGGGUGAAUAGUUUGUUUACAUACCUGAUAUGAAGUGCUCAUUGCAUAUCCUUGUGUAAAUCGUAGGUUUCCAUUGUUCACGACGAAUCGCCCCGAUCCAUUUAUCGCCUUUUUGGAUGUUUGCCGGAAAUCUAUAAAAGCUAAGAUUUGGUUUAUCAAGCUCAAAUAGCAGCAGAUGUAACAAGAAAGCGUGUGAGUCGUUGACCGGCAAGAUGGCCGCCAAGCUAAUGUGCGCGGCUGCUGACGUCAGCUGCAAAGCAACUGCUGUUCUGUUUAUUAUACUUACAGUUGUUAUGCAUUGACAUAAUGGUGCGCACUCAAAAUAGAUUUAAAUAAAUGGAAUCGUUUUUCUGCCCACUCCCUUUUAAACAAGCUAACUAUGCCCACGGAUUUGAAUUAGGGUGGACGUUCCGCCCAUCGACGUCACGCACACGUCACGUGGCCACGAUGCGGCAGACGGCAUAUAACCACCGCUGUUUUGUUUAGUAGACUUACAGUCACAAACUUUAUGCAGAGGUGAGAGAAACUUGACAAAGUACAGCCCAAGGGCAGGUCUCGACACUGGGCAAACAGCACAAAAUAAGAUUAUGAAUCAUAACACACACGACUUGUCAUAUUGUACCAAUACAUCAGAAUCACUGGUUUGCUACUUGGCACUAUGAUCAUUUAGCAACUGCGUAGCUAAAUUGCCUUUUCUCCUAAACAUACGCAUGGGUCACUGUUUAUCUUGAGAGGUCACAGGAAAUUGGCCUCACAUUGUUGCAGGGCGCAUUUUGUGUGUGUCGCUGGAAUUACCAAAGCCGUGUGUUUUUAUUUAAUAAAUGCACCCUUUGUUCUAUUUCCUGUCUUGCAGUCUUAAGUCACCGCAGCGGAAUCCAAAUGUGAGAGACCUCCUCUGCUUGCGGUUGGAAGUCACGUUAUGAAGACGUCACAGCUUGGCUUUGGCCAAUUGAUCCCUCAGCUCCAGCCAGGCGAGGGUGGAAUAGCUGCAACUGAUACUGAGUCCGACGUCAGCGCCACAUAUACUCCCUGAGUCGACAGCGGCGGAGGCCGAAGAUUUCGAUGCAUUUAAUGAUUUGGAGUGACGCGGAUGUUUUGAUCAACGUGUUAUUUAUGUUAUAUUUAUUUGAAUAACUGUUCAUUUUACGUCAGUUCCUCGUUUGUGUUUGUGUAACGUUACAAUACCGUAUGCGUAUCGUUUAGGCUGUUGUUGCCUAUUGGUGUCUGUUCUUGAUGUUGGAUUUUAUCGAAUUAAGUUCCGCCAAACAUGCGACUUACGUUUUUUUUCUUUUUUAUUAUGCAUUUUAUGGCUGUUGUUGCGACUUGUACUCCUGAGCGACGGAAAACACUGUAGUUAGCAAUCAGUAGACCAGCUUAAAAAAAAUGUAUGUUGAUGUAACAGAACAUAUGUCUAUACACGCGGUUGAAAUGAAAGAGUGGGUUGUUAACACAAAUGAACAUUGAAAUAUUAAACAUUUCUUUGUAGUUAUGGA